CGCCCUAAACGAUGUCUACUAGUUGUCGGGUCUUAAUUGACUUGGUAACGCAGCUAACGCGUGAAGUAGACCGCCUGGGGAGUACGGUCGCAAGAUUAAAACUCAAAGGAAUUGACGGGGACCCGCACAAGCGGUGGAUGAUGUGGAUUAAUUCGAUGCAACGCGAAAAACCUUACCUACCCUUGACAUGUACGGAAGGCCGAAGAGAUUUGGCUGUGCUCGAAAGAGAACCGUAACACAGGUGCUGCAUGGCUGUCGUCAGCUCGUGUCGUGAGAUGUUGGGUUAAGUCCCGCAACGAGCGCAACCCUUGUCAUUAGUUGCUACGAAAGGGCACUCUAAUGAGACUGCCGGUGACAAACCGGAGGAAGGUGGGGAUGACGUCAAGUCCUCAUGGCCCUUAUGGGUAGGGCUUCACACGUCAUACAAUGGUACAUACAGAGGGCCGCCAACCCGCGAGGGGGAGCUAAUCCCAGAAAGUGUAUCGUAGUCCGGAUUGUAGUCUGCAACUCGACUACAUGAAGUUGGAAUCGCUAGUAAUCGCGGAUCA
rnacentral:rRNA from 1 species